CUCGCACAUCAGCGCUGCUCCGGGAAGCCCUGACUCCCGCUCUGCUUCCGCGCAUGCGCGGAGCCGGCCGGCUCGCCUAAGGAGGGGGAGCCGGGCAGCGCCGCAGGACCCCUGCCCGCGGCAAGAUAGCGGCGGCCUUCUCCGGAGCGGGAGCCGAGCCGGGACGGGACGCCGAGUUCACCAGGGCAGAAGCAGCUCCCCACCUCUAGGACCCCUGUGGGUUUUGUUGCCGAGCGAAGGUGGUGCACCGGGUUGAUUAGAGAAGUUGAGAUAAAGGAGGAAUAAAAUGUAAACAGAACAUUAUGUAUAGGACAGGAAACAGAUGUACGGACAAUAUAUUUUAAACAGGACGUUGGAGGAUGAUAUAUCUCCAACUGGACGUUGGAACCCAAGAUAAGGAAAUAAUUAGCAAAAACCAGACCUUGCGGUUAGGAAGAAAGCAAACUCAGCAGAAUCCUGACCAAGGGUGAAAAGUACACUGUGAGGAAGACUUAUGGCCUUCCUCUCUGAGACCACCACCCACAGCCCAACGACCACUGCCCAGAAUUGAUGAGAGGAUCUGCGCAGAUGCAGGACACAAAAAACUAAUUAGCAUGAGAAGUGAGAGUAGGCGGGGUUAGAUAAUGAAUAUGUAUAGGCAUUAAUAAAAUAUUUAUCACUGCUGUAUAAAUUUGGGACGGCUUUUCACUUCAGGUAUGCACGAUAGGUGGAGAGAUCCCCCGUGCAUCCCGCACUGCAAUUAAGAAUAUACCACUUAAAGAAAUCGGACUAUCGAUCUUUGAAUCAGGGUAAACCGAGAAAAGCUGCAGCUGGCGUGCUGCAGUCGCAGGUUUCCCAGGGGAAAGAGUAGCUCGUCUGUCCCGACUGUCCAGAAGAUGUCCCGGAUUUAAAGAUGAUGUAUAUUAAAUGAAGUAUGAGAAGAAACAGCUUCUUCCAACACUUGCGCUCCUUUUCUUCAGCUCGUGCAGAAGGCUGACAGCCUGUCUCACUCUCAUCAGUGCUAUCCCACGAGCUCCUUUAGGAGCUCAGCACCAUGUUUGGCCUGUUCCGAUCUCCCCGAUCUCCUCAUUUCUGUGCUGCAACACCACCAUCCACAAGAAGUCAGAGAGGAGAAAAGCUCUUUCCAGCGAGAUGGAGAAGGAAUUAAUUAUACCUCUGCCUCAUCCUGUGAGACCAGAAGACAUGGAGUAACUGUAAGCUGCGAUUCUCAGGAGACACUAAGAGUCUUGGGUUCCUUCUCUGCCUGCCUCCCAAGGCCUCAGGGAUGAGAAAUCUUAGGCUUUAUGUUUUUCCCUAUGAAAUACUGUCGUGUUAAGGGGCAUAGCUGACUAACUGUUACGGGUCUGGUCGGAUUCAGGUUACUGAACUAUCACGGUCACGGAUUCACCAAUAACGUAGCACAUCCUUGAUCUAGUCGCAUUCAAUGAGAACUAUCACGGCUAGGAACAAUGCAAUGAAGGGCAGUUUAUUACAGCAACCAGGGACACAGGUACUUUGGAUUGCCGGAGAUAAAUUCACUGUCUGCAAAAGCAAGCGAGCACGCAUGAAAUACACAGGUACUCGUCCUGGCUAUUAAUGUGUUAAAAGGCACAAAGGCUCUAGAGAUUUCUAAGUUUCCAUGGAGACACCUGCUACAGCCAAGUGUUCAAAUCUUACCCCACGACACCCCAAUGCAAGGGGAAGAGAGGCUCAGCCCGUCGACUGAUCCCGGAAGUCAGAAAGGUAUCCUUCGUGAUGGUAUCUUCCCUAACAUCCCCUUUCACUUAAGCCAAUUUACAUUGUCCACUGAUCUAUUCUCUUUAGUGACCAGUGAUAGGACCCACAGGAAUGGUGUCAAGCUGCGGCAGGAGAGGUUCAGGAAGAGGUUUUUCACUGAGAGGGUUGUCGUGCACUGGAACAGUCUCCCCAGGAAAGUAGUCACUGCACCAAGCCUGUCGGAGUUUAAGAAGCGUUUGGACUGUGCACUUAGUCACAUGGUCUGAAUUUUUGGGGUGACCUGUGUGGUGCCAGGAGUUGGACUUGAUGAUCCAUGUGGGUCCCUUCCAACUCGGGAUAUUCUAUGAUUCUAUGAUUAUUUUCUGUCCUUGUAGGUGGAGCUUGAGUGACUCUAGUCAGGCACAUCUUGGUUAUGAUUGGUAAAAAGUUAUCUCGCUUUUGUUUAAAGGAGAAAUUCAGAGCGCGUGCUCAGUGAGGGGUGGUCGCACCUUGGAGGCACGGAGCUUUUGGGAUGGAGGUGUGUUUUGAUAUUAUAAUGAUGACAUAAUGAGCAAAAGUUCAGUAGAGUACAGAGUUUUUCAAAAACAUGACAGGUCGUUGGCUCAGGGUAGCAAACGUGCAGCUUAUUGGUCUCGGUGUGCACAAGAGCAUCGGGUCUGCAUCUCGUCACAGAGCCUAUCUGUGGCGUCUCCACUCCACUCUACGCUCUGUACUGUUCCUUAGAGUCAGCACACCAAGUUCCCCUAGUGCGAUAGCAUGUGAAGUUGGAGGCCUAGGGAACGCUUAGGUAGCGCAGCUACCCUCCACCCUGAAAGCUUCUUCAAUGCUGUACAUUUUCUUUAAAAUGUGAAUAUUAGUUUAAUUUGCCUACUUACUUCAGGCAAUUAUUCCACAAGUACCAAAAGUGAUACUGAGAAGCCUAAUUCCAGCAUCUCUGUUGGUAAUAAUAGCUUCAUACUUCUGUGCUUAUCCUCGUAGCUUUUCCUUUCGCAUACUGGAAAGGCAGAGACUGUUCAACAGAGUCAUCCCUGAUCCAAAACUCUGAUUUCAUCCCAAACCAACACUCUCUGAUGUCAGUAAGAGUAAAAUUGCUAUUACUCUUGGUCAUCCUGGUCGUCGCAGUCGUGCCUCUGUUGGGCUCUCUGUCCAACCCUGUUGAUCACCCCUGUCCUGCUGCUUGCCCCCUGGGUGGUUUUUCUGGCCCUCUGCCCCGCUGGCUGUCCGUCCACCCAGUUCCUCUCUUGCUGCUUGUGUCCCGCUUGUGCCGUUUUCCUUUGUUUUUUUUCCUCCUUUCUGUGCAUCACAGCCCAUUUCCGCAGGAGGCAACCGUUCCCCAUGGGAUGGAUGCUGAGAGGGAUGGACAGACCUGCUCGAUGCCUGAGCCCUGCAGCACCCCAGGGGAAGGGGAGAACGUCCGGGCAGGGAGUUCCACCGCAGUCUCCCUGCCAGGAGUCCUGCGCAAGAGUUUAAUAAAGUUCGCUUUCUGGCUUGUGCU